rnacentral:rRNA from 1 species
UACGAAGGGGGCUAGCGUUGCUCGGAAUCACUGGGCGUAAAGGGUGCGUAGGCGGGUCUUUAAGUCAGGGGUGAAAUCCUGGAGCUCAACUCCAGAACUGUCUUUGAUACUGAAGAUCUUGAGUUCGGGAGAGGUGAGUGGAAUUGCGAGUGUAGAGGUGAAAUUCGUAGAUAUUCGCAAGAACACCAGUGGCGAAGGCGGCUCACUGGCCCGAUACUGACGCUGAGGCACGAAAGCGUGGGGAGCAAACAGG